GUCGGUAACGAAAAAGAUCAAACCAUGUAUGCAGUCUCCAUAGUGGUCCUGGGCUGGUGCGUAGGUCGGAAUUUUUUUGUUUUCUGCUGCGUUACCCUACAGAAGAAGGAGCAGUUGAAGUACUGGAGUCACUACUUAAAAAACAACGUGACUACACCAUCUUAAAGGGGAUAGUCGACAGCGGGCAGGGCUUGGGAAAAGUUCAUCAACGUGACUCCAGGCCAAUGGCGAAGAAAGCUGUAUUGGUUUCGACCCAAGGCCCUAAGCAAGUGCCGGGGGCUGAAGUGUGUGCAUACUACGUUUGCAGAACAUUCGCAUCAUGGUGUCUGAAAGGAGCAAAUCUGAUAGACAGCUAUGAGUACGUUUGCCAGAAAACUAUUCACAUUUUUUA